rnacentral:lncRNA from 1 species
CCCCCUCUUACCUCAAGAAAUACAACUGAACGAAACAAAGAAAUCGGCAUAAUAGAAAAGUUGGCGAUAUUUAUCUUCUUUACAUUAAUAAGGAACGAGAAAGUAUUACAAAGAUAUAAUUCCAUUUUCGCGAGAAUAUCAUAAGUCUGAUAACAUAAGCAUGACUUAAUUAGGUAAAAAUAAUCCACUUAAAACUCUGUAAUCCAAAUAUUUCACGAAAUUACAUAAGCCAGAUGGUCCAGAAAACACUUACAAAACACCUGAAAUAUAAAUUCAAUGUUACUUGUACAUGGAUUCUAUCACUGCGUCAAAGAUUAAAUUAAACAUAAAAAUCCAUACCACAUAGUAGCACCAUCUGAUGUUUCAUGACUGAUCAGCAGUAGAUUGUUCUAGUAGCAGCUUUAAAUUUAGCAUCGUAUUCAUAUGGUUGCUGCAGAAAUAAAGACAAUUUCUCAUCCAUAAAUGACAAAAAAAAAUAUAAAUAAAUAUAUCUAUGGUAAUAAAACAACUGCAAAAUGAGCAAAUAUUGCUGUUAAUUGAUAAUACAACAAAGAAAUGGACAGUUAGAAGUGUAGCCUUUUUAACCUGAGAUAUUUUGUCCGCUACACUAGACUGGAUGACCGAUUUUCAAACAAUGAAACGUCUAAAUUAACUUAAAUACAGCCACAAUGAAAUCAAAUGCACAUCUCUGCAUCAAGUUGAGCCGUUCCAAACAAGCCAUGAAGUGAUCUUCACAAAUGCAACUUGCAGUAAAGAACUGAUUUUUUUAUUUAUUCAUCUUUUUUUUGGUGCCACAUGCAAAGUCAAUUUCUGAAAAACUAGCUUCCACUCUUUUCUUCUUUUCUCCAUGAAAAUCAGUUUUCACAGUGAGGUUUUUAUCACAAAAGCCACUCUCCAAAACAAAAGUCGAUCACCUAACACAAGCUUCAUUUGCAUUCACAUGACUACUGAAUUAUUACAAAUUUAGUCCGAAGUAAGCUUCGAGCUAAGGUGAAGCACUCACUGAAGUCCAAUCACUCAUCCACCUGAAUAAAUAAGAUAGGAAAAAACCUAAUUUACCCUCUAAACAUAUAGAUCGAAUCAUCGAAGUUGUGUAAAUAGUAACGUUAUUAUCUUUUUUUAUGAGCUGCAUAUAUACUACUGAGUAUGAAUUUGCCGAAAUUUUACUACGAAUGAAGAGGAAACUCGUGUGAAUACUGAUGGUAUAAAAUGGGCCAAAUCUAUUCGACCCGUAUUUUACUUCCUAUAGGACAUUAUACAGGUAAAUACGAGACUUUAGUUUAGACUAAAAAGUACGAAACCUUUAUCACGAUAUAUUUGUUCUGACUAUUUCUCUUGGCUUACAAUUGGGACUCGGUACAUGUUUGAUAGGUAUUUUGAUAUUUUGACCGUUAGAGAUGAAGUGAAUCUCACCUGUUUGAGAAAAAUUCAAAAAUGACAAUCAUAAUAGUGAAAUAACAACUAAAAAAUUGAUUUUAAUUAACUUUUUAGCUGUACCAAACAAGCUCUCAAGAUGAGAACCAGAUAUAUCCACAAAUUGAAGUUGACACUGUUAUAAUGGAAUACAAGGUGUUGAUCAAACCUCAACAGGUCAGAUUUGAGCCAAAACCGAACCAAACCGACUUAGUCGGUUUAAGCAUUUUCUGAAAUGAAUCAAACCAGCUAGGUAACUGAAACCGACCCAAGAGAACCGAUUCGGGUUGGGUCGGGUGGCCGGUUAAAUAAAUUCACAAAUCCAAGCAGAUGCUAAGGAGGAGGUACCCAUCUGGACACCAAUACAUGGAUCUCCACCAUGCAGAGUGCCGCCAGCGGAAGGCUUUACAAGGACAACAAAGUACGACUCAGAUGGGAACCUACGAGUUUUAUAUGUCCUUAUGUAGAUCUAGGUGUGAAAGCCCCCUCUUACCUCAAGAAAUACAACUGAACGAAACAAAGAAAUCGGCAUAAUAGAAAAGUUGGCGAUAUUUAUCUUCUUUACAUUAAUAAGGAACGAGAAAGUAUUACAAAGAUAUAAUUCCAUUUUCGCGAGAAUAUCAUAAGUCUGAUAACAUAAGCAUGACUUAAUUAGGUAAAAAUAAUCCACUUAAAACUCUGUAAUCCAAAUAUUUCACGAAAUUACAUAAGCCAGAUGGUCCAGAAAACACUUACAAAACACCUGAAAUAUAAAUUCAAUGUUACUUGUACAUGGAUUCUAUCACUGCGUCAAAGAUUAAAUUAAACAUAAAAAUCCAU